rnacentral:rRNA from 1 species
GACGAACGCUGGCGGCGUGCUUAACACAUGCAAGUCGAACGGAAAGGCCCUGCUUUUGUGGGGUGCUCGAGUGGCGAACGGGUGAGUAACACGUGAGUAACCUGCCCUUGACUUUGGGAUAACUUCAGGAAACUGGGGCUAAUACCGGAUAGGAGCUCCUGCUGCAUGGUGGGGGUUGGAAAGUUUCGGCGGUUGGGGAUGGACUCGCGGCUUAUCAGCUUGUUGGUGGGGUAGUGGCUUACCAAGGCUUUGACGGGUAGCCGGCCUGAGAGGGUGACCGGCAAAAUUGGGACUGAGAUACGGCCCAGACUCCUACGGGAGGCAGCAGUGGGGAAUAUUGCACAAUGGGCGGAAGCCUGAUGCAGCAACGCCGCGUGCGGGAUGACGGCCUUCGGGUUGUAAACCGCUUUCGCCUGUGACGAAGCGUGAGUGACGGUAAUGGGUAAAGAAGCACCGGCUAACUACGUG